rnacentral:rRNA from 1 species
CCGAUAGAGGGGGAUAACUACUCCAAACGGUAACUAAUACCGCAUAAUCUCUUAUGAGCAAAGCAGGGGAACUUCGGUCCUUGCGCUAUCGGAUGAACCCAUAUGGGAUUAGCUAGUAGUGAGGUAAUGGCUCACCUAGGCGACGAUCCCUAGCUGGUCUGAUAGGAUGAUCAGCCACGCUGGGACUGAUACACGGCCCAGACUCCUUCCGGAGGCAGCAGUGGGGAAUAUUGCACAAUGGGUGCAAGCCUGAUGCAUCCAUGACGCGUGAAUGAGGAAGGCCCUAGGGUUGUAUAGUACUUUCAUUCUGGAGGA